GAUCGGAAAUUACAAUAACACUCUUAGCAGGUACAGAACUGUGAUCUCAGGCAAGUUAUCUUAUAUAAGAUAAUUUUUUUUUGCAUACAUCGGGGGAUCGUGAAGAUUCUAUCGGUGAGGAUUUGCUCUCGGAAGGGCAAAGAUGAAUAUUGAAUAAUCAGACAUAGUACGAUAAGGUUGUAUGUCAAGAGGGAAACAGCCCAGAACAAGUGUUUAAGGUUCCAAAAUUAUUGUUAAGUGAAAUUAAGGAAGUUUUUUUCAAAUACAACCAGGAAAUAGGCUUAGAAGCGGCCAUUUUUUGAAGACCUCGUAACAGAGCACUGGUUCAUAUAUAUAAAUUAAUGCAAAUUAAUUUAAGUUAAAAGCGCCGAAAAUAUAACGGAUCUAAAACAAUAUACCGACACCUUGUCCAUAAUUCAUAAUAUAAUAUAUAAAUGACUUAUUUAUGUAGCCCUACAUUAACAAUACAUCGACCCUCCUUUAAAAAAAAGGGGGGGUAACCAUAAAGAAAUUAUUAUUUAAAAUAUGAAAGACUAUCUUUCUUAAAUUCUUAAAUUAUGAAAAUAUAAUGAAAUCUCUUUGCUAUAUUUUUUUUGUUACUUUAUAUAAAAUAACAAAAAUAAGAAAAAAAUAUAUGAAAUCUCUUAAUGAAAAUAAAUUGAAAAGAAAAAAAUAUAUUGUAAUUAUGGGGUAGCGGAACGUUGGGGAAAUCUUGGAUUUUACUUUUAGUAAAAAAUUAGAUACCAAGUGAGAUGCUGACAUGAGUACGAAAAGGUAUAGCCUCGCUUAAGCUAGCAUUUCUUAAGUACGCUCUAAGUAUAUAGACCUGCCUAGGACUAACGAUGAGAAAUCUACUAUGAUGCACCUAAG
rnacentral:rRNA from 1 species